UUUGUCGUUACAAGCAGGCUCCGAUUUAAGAGACGAGAUGUUCCAGUUUUGUUUGCAAAUAUCGCAGACUCAGCAGCGAAAGAGCAGAGAAAAUUCUUUGUGGUGGAAUUACAAGUUCAUUUGUCGAUGCGUGAGUCAUGUGGUGUCUUAUUUAGUAAUUUCGAUUCAAUUCGUCGAAAUGAAAAGAAUUUGAAUAUCAUGUGCCCAACAUCGA